CAAGCAGGCAAUACCGUUUUCUGUGCUCUUUGCCUGACUAGCAGUAAUCAAUUUGUAGUGCUACCUAACCUAUAAUACAGUGAUCAUAGUGAUGCGGUAGUGGGUGAGUUGAGAUAGGCUGUGCAGGAGCCUCAAACCCUCAGCUUUCAAAUGAAUGCAUGACGAUGCAUGUAGCGAUGGCAGAGUAGAGCAAUAGUGAUUACGUGAGAUCGGCCCGUCUUUUCUAUCCAAAAUUCUGCAUGGCGGUGACAUUCAUC